rnacentral:lncRNA from 1 species
AAAAAAAAAAAAAAAAAAAAAAAAAAAAUUCCACAACAUUCCCAAUUCCUGCUUCCAAAAUCGCCGGGAAAACCUUGAUUCCAGCAAAUCCCAUGGAAUUCCUGAUCCUCGGCUCUCACAUACGAAAUUCCCGAUUUUUCACCUCCAUCACCCCCCCUUCUCCACCAGGAGCUCAUCCUGGUUUUCCCGGAAUGUUGGGAAGGGUUGGAGAGAGCCCUUCCCAACUCCUGCUCCCAUUCCCUCGGCUCUUCCUGGUUUUUCGUGGAUUUGGGAAGUGGCUUUCACCGGAUCCCGAAUCCUGGAACCUGAAUCCCAAAUCCCAAAUUCAGGUUCCCGGUGGGAUCGGAUCCCGAAUCCCGAAUCCCAGUGGGAUCAGAUCUCAAAUCCCAAAUUCCAGCUCCUGGUGGGAUCGGAUCCCAAAUCCCAAAUCCUGGCUCCCGGUGGGAUUGGAUCCCGGAUCCCAAGUCCCAAAUCCCAAAUCUCGGAUCUCAAAUCCCAAAUCCCGAAUCCUGAAUCCUGGCUUCCUGUGGAAUCAGAUCGUGAAUCUCGAAUCCCAAAUCCUGAAUCCCGGCUCCCGGUGGGAUCAAAUCCCAAAUCCCGAAUCCCAAAUCCUGAAUCCCGAAUCUCAAAUCCCAAAUCCCGGCUCCUGGUGGGAUCGGAUCUCAAAUCCCAAAUCCCAAAUCCCAAAUUCAGGUUCCCAGUGGGAUCGGAUCCUGAAUCCUGAAUCUCGAAUCCCGAAUCCCGAAUCCCAAAUCCCGGCUUCCUGUGGUAUCAGAUCCCAAACCCCGAAUCCCGGCUCCCAGUGGGAUCGGAUCUCAAAUCCCGAAUCCCAAAUCCCGGACCCAAAUCCCAAAUCCAGAAUCCCAGCUCCCAGUGGGAUCGGAUCCCGAAUCCCGAAUCCCAAAUCCUGGACCCAAAUCCCAAACCCCGAAUCCCGGCUCCCAGUGUGGGAUCGGAUCUCAAAUCCUGAAUCCCAAAUCCCAGACCCAAAUCCCGGACCCAAAUCCCAAAUCCCAAAUCCCGAAUCCCGGNCAUCCAUGAAUCCCCCCGGAUCUCAAAUCCCCCAAAAAUUCCCUCUGGGAAUCUUCCCGGAUCUCAAAUCCUCAAAAAUUCUCUCCGAGAUUCUCCCCCAAUCUUGGAUCUCCCCAAAAAUUCCCUCUGGGAAUCUUCCCUGAUCUCAAAUCCCCCAAAAAUUCCCUCCAUGAAUCUUCCCGGAUCUCAAAUCCCCCAAAAAUUCCCUCUGGGAAUCUUCACGGAUCCCAAAUCUCCAAAAAUUCCCUCUGGGAAUCCCCCACAGUUUCGGAUCCCCAAAAAUUCCCUCUGGGAAUCUUCCCAGGUCUCAAAUCCUCAAAAAUUCCCUCAGUGAAUCUCCCCCGAUCUCAGAUCCCCAAAAAUUCCCUCUGGGAAUCUCCCCCGGCUCCCAAACCCCCAAAAAUUCCAUCCAUGAAUCCCCCCAGAUCUCAAAUCCCCCAAAAAUUCCUUCCGGGAAUCUCCCCAGAUCUCAGAUCCCCAAAAUUCCCUCUGGGAAUCUCCCCCGGAUCCCAAAUCCCCCAAAAAUUCCCUCCAGGAAUCUUCUUGGAUCUUGGGCCCCCAAAAAUUCCCUCUGGGAAUCUCCUUGGAUCUUGAGCCCCCAAAAAUUCCCUCCAGGAAUCUCCCUGGAUCUUGGACCUCCCCAAAAAUUCCCUCCAUGAAUCCCCCCUGAUCUCAGAUCCCCAAAAAUUCCCUCUGGGAAUCUUCCCAGAUCUCAAAUCCCCCAAAAAUUCCAUCCAUGAAUCUCCCCCAGAUCCCAAAUCCCAAAAAAUUCCCUCCAGGAAUCUCCCUGGAUCUUGGGCCCCCAAAAAUUCCUUCCGGGAAUCUCCCCAGAUCUCAAAUCCCCCAAAAAUUCCCUCUGGGAAUCUCCCCCGGAUCCCAAAUCCCCCCAAAAUUACCUCUGGGAAUCUUCCCAGGUCUCAAAUCCCCAAAAAUUCCCUCUGGGAAUCUCCCUGGAUCUCAAAUCCCCCAAAAAUUCCCUCUGGGAAUCUCCCNNNNNNNNNNNNNNNGUUUAAAAUUAUGGGAAUGCCAGGGGGAAAACCGGGAAGUUUUGGGGUGGCUGCGGUCCCGGGAUGUGCUGGGAAUUCCCAGUGGGAAUGGGGAAGUGGAGGGGGAAAUUCCCGAAAUUCCAGGUGGGAAUUCCUG